rnacentral:lncRNA from 1 species
GCGGGCGCGGGGCGGGGCCGGGGCGGGCGCGGGGCGGGGCCGGGGCGGGCGCGGGGCGGCCCCGGCAGCGGGGAUGGCGGCGGCGGCGGCCGGGUGAGGGGCCGCGGCUGGCAGCGCCGAGCCCGCCGGCACCGGCUGGGGACAGGGACAGAGCGCCGGCCCCGCGGGAUAUUUCCAGAAAGUGCCUCGAGGAAGCUUCCUUAUGUAGAAAAACCCCACAAGAAACACAGUGUGUGCUUCCUGGCAGCU